rnacentral:rRNA from 1 species
AAGUCGUAACAAGGUUCCCUUCCGCCGCUCAGCACGGAGACCUUGCAACCCUUAGGGGAGGCAGCACGACAGUAAACAAAGCUUGCCGUUUGCAAGUCGGCCAAUCGGUCGGCAACACAAUCGAAUUGACGGGGACCUCCUAAAGCCUGUAACACCAACCGUCCGGGGAAACUCGGGCGGGGCCCUCACGGGGUGGUAAGAGAGUACAGGAUGUAACAAUGGACAAUCCGCAGCGAAGACCCUACCGGCUCCGGCCCACGGGUACCGUUCACAGACUAAGUGAUUGUGGGCGGGGCGAUCGUGCCCUGUCUAAGAUAUAGUCGGACUCUACCCGAAAGGAUAGAGGAUAGCAUGUCCGUAGGUGAACCUGCGGAAGGAUCAUUAAAGAAUGCCCCGUUUUUGAAAUGGGUUCUAUUCCCAAACCGUGUAUACAUACCUUUGUUACUUUGGCAGGCCGCCUUCGGGCGUCGGCUCACGCUGACCGCGCCUGCCAGAGGACCCAAACUCGAUUGUUUAGUGAUGUCUGAGUACUAUAUAAUAGUUAAAACUUUCAACAACGGAUCUCUUGGUUCUGGCAUCGAUGAAGAACGCAGCGAAAUGCGAUAAGUAAUGUGAAUUGCAGAAUUCAGUGAAUCAUCGAAUCUUUGAACGCACAUUGCGCCCCUUGGUAUUCCGAGGGGCAUGCCUGUUCGAGCGUCAUUAUGACCACUCAAGCCUAGCUUGGUAUUGGGGUUCGCGGUCUCGCGGCCCUUAAAAUCAGUGGCGGUGCCAUCUGGCUCUAAGCGUAGUAAUUCAUCUCGCUAUUGGGUCCGGUGGUUGCUUGCCAAUAACCCCCAACUUCUAAGGUUGACCUCGGAUCAGGUAGGGAUACCCGCUGAACUUAA